NNNUAUGAUACAGAGAAGAUUAUUAUGGACCCAACACAAAUAUGACAUGCCAUAUCUGUGGAGCAUUUCCUAUUUUU
rnacentral:snRNA from 1 species